UUCAUUAUUAUACAAAUACAAUGUCAUUAUCAUCUCUUUUCUUUUUUUCCGAUUUCGGGAUCUCACAUCGAAUGUAGUGUGUAUGUGUGUGUGGGUUAUAUAAAAAUAAGGACUGUUAAAAAAUAGUGAUUCAUUCGUAUUAUAAAAAAAAAAGAGAUGAUAAUGACAUUGUAUUUGUAUAAUAAUGAAUUGGAAAGAUAACUGCUGCUGCUCAAACUAAUUAAUUAGAUCACUAUCUUCCAAAC
rnacentral:misc_RNA from 1 species